AACGAACGCUGGCGGCAUGCCUAACACAUGCAAGUCGAACGAGACCUUCGGGUCUAGUGGCGCACGGGUGCGUAACGCGUGGGAACCUGCCCUUAGGUUCGGAAUAACUCCCCGAAAGGGGUGCUAAUACCGGAUAAUGUCUUCGGACCAAGGAUUUAUCGCCUUUGGAUGGGCCCGCGUUGGAUUAGCUAGUUGGUAGGGUAAAAGCCUACCAAGGCGACGAUCCAUAGCUGGUCUGAGAGGAUCAUCAGCCACACUGGGACUGAGACACGGCCCAGACUCCUACGGGAGGCAGCAGUGGGGAAUAUUGGACAAUGGGCGAAAGCCUGAUCCAGCAAUGCCGCGUGAGUGAUGAAGGCCUUAGGGUUGUAAAGCUCUUUUACCCGGGAUGAUAAUGACAGUACCGGGAGAAUAAGCUCCGGCUAACUCCGUG
rnacentral:rRNA from 1 species